rnacentral:lncRNA from 1 species
UAUAAGUAAGAGAGUCAGUAGCCGCAUGCAUACAUCUUGAAGCCAAUACACUGUAUAUUAACACAGGAAACUCACAGAAAGGAAACUCUAGAAUAAAGAAAAAAGUGACCUUUAUAAACAUCAAAAUACUCAUGUUAUUCAUAAAAGACACAUCCAUAAAUAGGCUGCAUCACAGAAUACCUUCAAAUGGCUACGUGAGUGGGAAUUUAUUUUCAGUAUGAAAACGAAAAUUAGAAUAGAGUUCAGAGUUAGACUGCACCAACUAACAUAUCACUUCCAAGAUCAGCUAAAAUUAGACAAAAGAAUACAGUGACUUUAGUGUCCCUUUUCAGGAAGAAUCAAGAUAUUGUUUUAACAUGAUGUACGAUACUGCAAAACACCAUUUUUAACCAAUAAUUACAUCUCGAUGAGAAGUACUACUACAAAAGAUUGUGAUGGGGAAUGGAGAGUCCACAGGGACGAUGGUCAGGACGCAUAACCUGAACUUCACGCUGGCACCGGUAACGACACUUUGUAUGGGGACGCAGUUGCGACAGCCGUGGGGACCCCCCUGCCAGCACGGAAGGAAUGUGUACUGCUCCACUGGUCGCCAUAGCUGGUCUCGCCUCGUUGAGCGACUCCUGCGUCGACUGCUUCCUCCAGUGCAUCGCUACCGCUGGAGAGGGUUUAUUCUUGGGCGUGGACACUGGUGGCGAGUCAGGGUGUGACAAACCAAUUUGAUGUUGAUUGUUGAAUGAUAUUAACAAACAGCCAAUCGCAAGAUUCAGUGAAAGGAAAUAUGAUUCAACGUUCAGCUGUUGAAUUGGAACUCGUGAAGGCAAAACACAAAAAUCUAAAUCUGACUCACAUCUUUUAGAGCCCCGGGCUCCUCCCACCUUCCACACCGGUGAUGGCGAGAAGAUAACACGGCCAUCGGCUUCUCCGGGCAGGCUGCGGCCGUGCGCCCAAGAUCCGCUUUUCAGCCGUAGGUCGAUAGCACGAUGCAGCUGUAGAUCGUAGGCAACCACUACCUCUGUGGCAAGGCACCCAUGGGCGACAUGAGGUGAGGGCGAAGGUAGCUGUCGAUAGAGAAGAAAGGGUCGCGGAGAGAUGAAGAUGUAGGGAUCGAGAUAGGAGUGGGGAAUGAAGAAGGAUCAAGAUGCAGCGGGCCUAAUGGGCACAUACUGGUGCUUGUAGAAUUUUAUGGUGCGGGAGAGUGGUCCGUGGAAGGGAAAAAUUGCUAGAAGGCGAAAGAGGAAAAGACAGGACGCUUUGAUGACCAAGGAUGGGCAUGAAAGAAUGUAAAAAUGCAUCAAUGAUUCGUUGAUUAUUUGUGAGUGGAUUGCUGACGAGGCUAGAUUGAUCUGCUGAGGUGACCGUUGUUGAUGUGGACAG